rnacentral:rRNA from 1 species
CCUACGGGAGGCAGCAGUGGGGAAUAUUGCGCAAUGGGCGAAAGCCUGACGCAGCGACGCCGCGUGAGGGAUGAAGGUCUUCGGAUCGUAAACCUCUGUCAGCAGGGAAGAACGGUCACUGUGCUAAUCAGCAGUGACUUGACGGUACCUGCAAAGGAAGCACCGGCUAACUCCGUGCCAGCAGCCGCGGUAAUACGGAGGGUGCGAGCGUUAGUCGGAAUUACUGGGCGUAAAGCGCUCGUAGGCGGUAUGUCAAGUCAAGGGUGAAAUCCCCGCGCUCAACGUGGGAACUGCGUUUGAAACUGGCAAACUGGAGUGUGUGAGAGGAUAGUGGAAUUCCAGGUGUAGGAGUGAAAUCCGUAGAUAUCUGGAGGAACAUCAGUGGCGAAGGCGACUAUCUGGCACAUAACUGACGCUGAGGAGCGAAAGCGUGGGUAGCAAACAGGAUUAGAUACCCCUGUAGUC